rnacentral:misc_RNA from 1 species
GGAGUAAAAGUCGUAACAAGGUUUCCGUAGGUGAACCUGCGGAAGGAUCAUUACCGAGCGAGGGCCCUCUGGGUCCAACCUCCCACCCGUGUCUCCUGUACCUCGUUGCUUCGGCGGGCCCGCCUCACGGCCGCCGGGGGGCAUCUCGCCCCCGGGCCCGCGCCCGCCGAAGACACCCACGAACUCUGUCUGGAGAAUGCAGUCUGAGUGAAAUGAUAAAUUAUUUAAAACUUUCAACAACGGAUCUCUUGGUUCCG